UUGUUUUUGCUUACGUCUUGACACGUGUAAGUAAUGACGGCUGAGAUUAAUCCACACCAACAGCUUCCUUUCAACUCCUGUUUUCCCAAUGCUUUUACCUUCCUUCUGCUACUCUCUUUUCUGAUCAAUCCAAGCCAUAUCUUCUACCCUAUUUUCGUCCUUGUUUUUGUUUUUGUUGUAAAUUCUCUUCAAUUUUUUAUUUUUACUCUUGAAGAUCUUACCAAACCUUCUUCUAUCUCCGUUUUAUUCUUCAAUCUCAUCUUGCUUUUUAUUUUAAUGUUUGCCUUUAUGUUUUGAUUUUUUGGAUUACUAUUCACAGGUUUUGAUUUCCAUCCACAAGGUUAGGUGAUUUGCUUUUAAAGAAAAUCAGGUACGUGAGAACACCCAUUGAAAGGGGCUUCGAGGAUUGAGGUGCUCGAUUGAAUUCUUCGGUGAAACAGGUAUGUUCUUUUAUGCUUUUUUUAUGAUUAAUUAGGUAAGAUUGGGUUUUGGUUCUUGAUUAAUGUUUUUAGGGUUUGUGUAUCAUCUUCAAUAAUCGAUUUCAAUUCAAUUUGGGUAAAAAGAUGGGUUUAUUUUGGUGAUUAAUUAGGUAAGAUUGCGUUUGGUUCUUGAUUAAUGUUUUUAGGGUUUGAGUAUCAUCUUCAAUAAUCAAUUUCAAUUCAAUUUGGGUAAAAAGAUGGGUUUAUUUUGGGUGAAAAAAUGCUGGUAAAUUUGGAGAUAGUAUGGAAAACCUUGGAAGAUGUGUUGGGCUAUUCUUUAAGUGGUUUGCUUUAGAGGAGUCACACACCAUGUUUUUGCCUUCAAACAAUAGAACUCCAAGACCAGUACACCAAUAUUGUCAACAAGAUAGCGAGGGACUAGGCAGUGAUGGUUGUUUGGUGUAUCGGUUGCCUUUCUUUCUCUUUAAAGUUGAACCUUUUCAUUUCCAACAAUGUGAAAUAUCAAUGGAUGAACAUACUCAUUAGUAGUUGGGAUCAUAGAACAAGUAGUUAGAUAAAAUGUUGUUUUAAAUAAACUAUAGAUAAUUUUGUUUAUGAUUUUGUGUAAUAUGUAUUGUAUACUACAUACCUCAUCUUUUAAUAGUUGCAACAUUUUUUCCAAACCUGUGAAAGUUUUUUUGGAGAAAUGUAGCAACUUUUAAAAAGAUAGAGCAUAUAUAUGGUGAAAUUGUAUUUUUCUCUUCGGAAAAAUAAAUACAAACUCUAAACAUCCCAAACGUUUAACCUAAUUGUUUGAAACACGUGAAUAUAUCUGGUAGAAAAGUAUGUGAGCAUAGGUGGCUUGCAUUAUGUUUGGAAGAUAUUAGAUCCAUGAAAAUUUUGGUUGUAUUUGUUACAUGAGUUGUGUUAUUAAAAUACAGGAGUUUUGUCCAAGAAUGAAAUAUGAUGGUUGAAAAAUGUUACAUUUUCUGACUUAUUCUUGUUCAUCUUUAUUUUUUUAUCUAACUAAUAAUUAAUUUCUGUCUUAGAAUCCUCGUUUGAUGAUUGUGGGUCUUAUAAACUUUUUCCAUUGCCAUACUUGUGUGUAUCUUUUAGUUAUUAAUAUCAAACUGACAUGUCAAGAAUCCUUUAUCCAGUUUGCAUUUGGACUGUGGCUUGCGUGGGAGACAGGGGACAAAAUGAUGAGUUCUUUUGCAUGCGUCUGAACUCUCGAUUUUAAUUUUUUAUUAUUAUUAUUAUUAUUAUUAUUAUAUUAAUACAGUAUGUUGAUUGUUGAGGGAAGAGGGCUACAAGUCUACAACUAUUCAUUCGUGUUAUUAUGUCAAGUUAAUAUUUUUUUUUGUUUUUCGAUUUUUUAUUUGGUUUUUGACAUGGAAAAAGGGAUUUCCGUUAAUUUACCGGCUUAAAAUCAGGGUUUUUGUUUAUUUCUACUACCUUACCUGUUCAUAUCUGAUUGGCGAUUCAAAUGUUGCCAACACUUGAUCGGAAUUAUAUAUGAGUUUUGCUUAUUUCCCAAUUCUUGUAAAAAGUAGGUUGUAUUUACUUUUAUGAUGCUUUUGCAUCUCAUGCCGAUAUAUCGCAUUUGAAUACUUUCUGAAGCUACACAUGCUGCUAACACUGCUAUUGCUAUAUUCAAUGUAAGCCUAAUUUUCCUUUUUUGUGGUUUUGAUGGUGAUUUAUUUGAUUUUUUUUUGGUAUUUUUUUUUGGUUGAUUUAGUGGUUAGGAUCAUUUUUUAUUAACUAUAAUUUGUUGAAUUUGGAAUUUGAUUAGAAUUAUAUAUGAGUUUUGCUUAUUUCCCUCUGGAUUUACUAUAGUUUUUGCUACUUUUUGUGAACUAAAAUUGGUAAUUAUAAAUUGGUAAUUCUUAUAAAAUUUGAUUGAUUGAUGUGUUUUUAGAGGAUUAGCGGCAUAUUUUUUUUGCCUUUUAAUAUUUUAGGUAAGGUUUUAUGGAGUUGAUUGUUUAAAUUUUUAAUAGUUAUGGUGAUAUGGUGAUGAGAAAUGUAGGAAUAUUUAUGAGGUUUUUGGAAUCUAUGAUCAUGAGGAUUCGUACCAUUAAUCAUGCCCGUGGAUUUAGCGAUGGAAAAACACAUGAUCGACUGCAAAAGAGUGCCUUAUUUCUAUUGUCUUAUACACAAGAAGCUUGCUGUAUAUGAUUUUGUUGAGGGUUCACCUGUAACUAAAUUUCUGUUUCAAUAGUCAUUAUUAAGGUCUUUACACUCCUUGAUGAUAGCAAUAGGAGCAACAACACACCUUUGAGACACUUACAAUACCCCUGAGUCCAACAAAAAUAGUGAUGAUAAAUGACAACAACUUGGACAACCGCAACGUCAAAUACAUCAAAACAAUAUUCAAAAACAUGGAUGUCCACAACAGCAAGCAACCCACAACAGCAACAAUAGACAAUAACAACACCAACAACAUAUUCUAUUUGAUAUCAUCCUCAAAAACUAUAGUUGCAAGAUUUGAAUUAGAAAGUGCUGGUGAGGUUAGAAAUGCUUUCUUAUUGCUUGUUUUGAUGAUGUAGGUUUUCAGUUAUAAUUAUGAAUACAAGAACAUUGUCAUCAUAUUGGUUUAGGCUUGUUGUUGUGUGUUAGAAGAUGGUCAUCCAUUGUGUGGUAGAAUGAUUUUUAGAGCCUUAGAGAGGUCUAGGGUUCCUAUUCUGUGUUAUAAUUUUUUCCAGCAGUGGGUCAAUGUAGUUGAAAAUAUCGUUUAAGUUCAUUACUUUAAAUGAAACAUAUAAAUUCAUUGACUCCUACUGAAAAAAAUACUUCAACAUCGUGAUCGACCUCUUGAAGUCCAAAUGACUAUCUUCUGCACCGAGGCGAGUUUUACAAUAACUCAAACUUGAGGUCGAUGCCGCCCAUUCCAGUUUUAAAAAGACCUCGAACUUGAAGUUUAGUACAUGAUUUCGAUUUAACCCCUGCGCUGUUUGGCAAUUCUUGAACAUUAUAUGAAUUACGAUUCUUACUCUAAACUGCAUUUACAGUGACUAGCAAGCGUCUUAUUGUGAGGUAGUACUGCAAAAAAUGCAACCACCAGUGCUUGUGUCCAUGUAAAAGAAACUAGACUUCAAACUUGGUUAGUUUUUCUUUCUCCAUAAAAGUGAACUAGUAGCACUUUUACUAACUAUGUUUUGGUUGCAAAUCUUGUUAGUUUUACCAUAGAAUUGCAAGGAUAAGAAAGGUAUGUCCUAUUAAAAGUUGCAAAGUCUGUUAAUUUUAACAUUAUCGGUGAGUGAACUUCUUGGAUCCUUCUUCUAAGAUCAUUUUUUGUUAAAUUAAUUGCGAUAACAUUAUUAGGCUAUUAGCGAUUUUUUAUUUAUGUGUCUUGUUAUUAAUUAUUAAUGUGUGAUUAAUUUGUUGUGUUGUGAGUUAUGACUAAUGAGAUUUAAUUUGUUAGGGUUUAAAUUAUUGAAGUUAAACUUAUGUUAUUUAGUUUGUGCAAUUAAUUUUAUAUUGAUCUCGAUGUAUUUCAUUCAUUGGUUGGUUGGUUGGUUAUCAUUUCAUCCAAAAAUUGAUAUUUAUUUAGAGGUAUGGACAAUGAACACAUCAUGUAAUUAUUCUUCUUUUUUUUAACUUACCAUUAGGUUUUUGAUAGGUUUUUGGGAGACAUUGAUGAUAGCCAGCUCUCAGAAAUUUAUGGACGCAAAAUGUUCAACUUAAAGCAAUGUGUCAAUUGCUCUGUUUCUCUUAGUUUUACUUGCCUUAUAAGUAGAUUGCAUUAAUUUUAUUUAGCUUGCAUUGUAUUCAUGAUUUUGUAAUGGAUAUAGUUGAUUACAAGUUGAUAUGUUGUUUAUUAGAUCAAUGAUGAUAUAUCUAAUAUCGAUUUUGUACCUUAGAUUUGGUAUAAUAUGUUACAACAUUGAACAACUCAAACAGGAAUCUACAAUCAAAUGCUUGGAUUGGUUUAUGUCA